CGCGCCCUUUGUUUACCACUCAGUGGCGGCGAGUGUCCGCAGACACAGAUCUGGGAUCGGAUUUGUUUGAGUCACCGUCCAAACAUAACCUACGGUUCGCUUGGAAUGAUCUGACUCCAGGCGCGUGAUUCAGAUCAGCCUCGAAAAUCCGACUGAACCCGCGUAUCCGAGGUCUCCUAUUCCACAAGUUCAGUUGUAGUGGAGAUGUUCUGCCAAGGAUUGUCUUCGGGUCGGUGGGGAGGGACAUUCGGGGUCUUGGUCAGGCUCAUCAUCAGGGGAGACGAGUUGCAGAGCCACUUCAUUCUCAUAGCAGAAUGACGAACGUGCCCAAGAAGUGACCUAUGAUGUCAUGAGCUCCGUCAUUCUAUGGAAAAAAAGGAUCAGAUUGAAGAUGACCGAGGGCAAAAAAAGCAAAAAAACAGCAAAAAAAGAGACUAAUGCGGCAGACACAACAAUCAGCAUGCAUCAAACAACAUAAACAACAUAAACAUCAAAAACAGCAAAAACAUCAAAAACAUCACAUUUUAGUGGAUAUAAACUUUAUCUGCUCAGACGAAAUCUUUAAAUAAAAGCAGUGGAUGUUACAUAGAUUAUGUUUGCAACUGGGCACCUUCUGUUAAUUUAAAUUGCAUAUUGUGUUUGUGUAAAAACACUAAUUGUAAUUGACCCAUGGAAAACUGUCCGGGAGGAGGGGACCGAGGCAGAGAGAGAGAGAGAGAGAAACUAACAGGGGAGGGCAUGGUGAUGUCAGACUUUGUGAAUGAGUGAGUGAUCAGAAAGACACGAGGUUCAGGAAAACUAGAGACCUUUAAGAGGAUAAAAUGAAUUAAUCACUCCAUGGUCCCUUCUGUUGAAGCCAUAUAUGAGACUGUAGACAGUGUUAGAAAUGUUAUCCUGGUUUGUUUUUGUGUAUCAGGCUGGUUGCUGGGAUAAGAGAGAGAGAGUGCAAACAUGGCAGAAAAGUAUUUGAAAAUCAAUUUAGAGGCGUUUUUCUGGGACUUUAUGAUGAGAAGAGGGUCAAGACUUUUUUUUUUAAGAAAAAUUUUAUUUCCAAUCUCAAAUUCAAAAAGGUGUAUUGGCAUGAAUUAUUUUAUUGCUAAAUGUACACUAUUACCAUCUCUAUCUCUUGGCUCACUUUAUCUCUCUCCAGUAAAUUCUCCAGCAAAAGGCAUACAAUUGUGUAAAAAAAACUGGUAAACUGUGACUGGACUUCCUGGUGUCAUGUAAAUAACAUGUAACUUUGAUUGUGGUAAACUGUUGCAGGCACGGCAGCCUUAAAUAAACAAA